rnacentral:rRNA from 1 species
UACGGAGGUGGCAAGCGUUGCUCGGAAUCACUGGGCGUAAAGGGCGCGUAGGCGGGGAGGUAAGUCGGGUGUGAAAUCCCUCGGCCCAACCGAGGAACUGCGCCCGAGACUGCUUCUCUUGAGUCCCGGAGAGGAAGAUGGAAUUCCCGGUGUAGCGGUGAAAUGCGCAGAUAUCAGGAAGAAUAUCCGUGGCGAAGGCGGCUCUCUGGGACGGUACUGACGCUGAGACGCGAAAGCGUGGGGAGCGAACAGG